rnacentral:rRNA from 1 species
GAUGAACGCUGGCGGCGUGCCUAAUACAUGCAAGUCGAGCGAACAGACGAGGAGCUUGCUCCUCUGACGUUAGCGGCGGACGGGUGAGUAACACGUGGAUAACCUACCUAUAAGACUGGGAUAACUUCGGGAAACCGGAGCUAAUACCGGAUAAUAUAUUGAACCGCAUGGUUCAAUAGUGAAAGACGGUUUUGCUGUCACUUAUAGAUGGAUCCGCGCCGCAUUAGCUAGUUGGUAAGGUAACGGCUUACCAAGGCAACGAUGCGUAGCCGACCUGAGAGGGGGACGCCCCACCUUGGAACUGGGACCGGGCCCGGCCCCCGCCGGGGGGCGCAGUUGGGAAUUCUCCCGCAAGGGGCGAAAUCUUGACGGCCACACCCCGGGGGGUGGAAAAAGUUUUUCGUAUCUAAAAUCUUUUUAAUGGGGAAAAAAAAAAUGUGAAAUAAACUAGCCCCUUCUGCACGUCCCCAAAUAAGAAACCCCGGCCUAACCCCGUC